AUGUGAUGGUCACAGAUGGAAAGUCUCUGAUCAUAGCUACAUUAACAAUUAGAUAAAUAUAUCUACCCCGACUCCACCCCACACUCCACUUCUGUCUCCAAUCCACCCUGGCCCACCUCUAC